AACGAACGUUGGCGGCGUGGAUUAGGCAUGCAAGUCGAACGCGUGAGAGGGGCUUGCUCCUCAAGCGAGUGGCGAACGGGUGAGUAACGCGUGGGAAACCUGCCCGAAGCGUGGAAUAACACUCCAACGGGGUGCUAAUACCGCAUGGUAUCGCCGGGUGGCAUCAUUUGGCGAUUAAAGGUGGGGACCGUAAGGCCUGCCACUUUGGGAUGGUCCCGCGUCUGAUUAGCUUGUUGGUGAGGUAACGGCUCACCAAGGCGACGAUCAGUAGCUGGU
rnacentral:rRNA from 1 species